rnacentral:lncRNA from 1 species
AUGGUUAAUGUGACUACGAAUAAUGAGAAUUCUAACAUAGAAUACUCCCAAGCAACAUUCAGCUUUGAUUUUCCAUCUAUGCUGGAAAAUGCUAGUCAUCUCAAAUAUACCACGCUUGAAUUCCAUUUAAUUUGCAGUGUGCCUAACAUAUUACCUGAUAUUUUACCAUUAGCGGGUUUCUCUCUUGGCUAAAGGACUGUAGAGAAAGGAACAGCUACAUCUGCCUAGAGAAAUCCAUACAGAAGAGGGAAAUGCUUGUGCUGAGGCUUGAAAGAGGAGGAAACACUGGCUCCAUGAAGCCUUCAUCGACCCUCAAGGAUUGCUCCUUCCUGUCCUUUAUUUCCAUUGAUAAGAAAAAGCUGUCUGUAACUGAUUUCCAGGCCGAAGUACAAGAACAGCUUCCCACUGUCGCUAGUCUCUGGGUGCCUCAACAUCCCUUGUUUGUUUCUUUAACCUGCUUGUAACCUGUAGGCGCGGAGUUUAUUACCUGUUUUCUUGUGAGAAGACAAACUCAGAGUGGAAGAGAACUUGUCCCAGGUCACCCUUGGUGGAGGUGAGCUCAGAUCAGCCUGACCUCACAACCCAACAAGAAGCAGUGCAAGCAGGAAAUGUGUACAUUCUAUAGUCCAUUCAUCCAAGUUGACAAGAAGAAACCUCAGGCAUGAAGACAGAACAAGCAUUUCUCAACAAUACAAAGUGAUAAAGCGUCAAAAUGAGCUUCAUAUGCGUCUCUUGAGUCCUUCAUUCCAGCACCUUCUCCCAUCCCCACUCUGGAACCUUUUCCUGGAUCCUCCUCCCAGCUGGGUCUUGGUCAACUAGACAGAGGUUUGAGUUAAGGAUAGACAGAAAAGAGUGGAGGGCACUAUCGAGUUGUGGGAUUCACCACAGAGCAAAGCCAAAUUCAUAUGUGUUUUGUUUGAGUUGUAACUCGUUUUUCAAUUAUUCACAUUCCUCCUUCCCUCCAAGAGAGUGAAAGUGAACAGAAAAGGCCAAUCAUCAUUCUAGAAUUUCAUGCUGGACUGUGGAAUAAGAACUAUCCUCACUGCUUCUCUAUCACAGAUAUUACAGAUAUCAUGAGCCUUUGCUUGGCCAAAAAGUUCUAUAAGAAAAAGGAUUUUCAUUUGUGGUAGAGGUGGGUGGACAAGUUUCUUUAUCUAAGAGAAUCAUUAUUCAUCUCCAAUUAUGUACAUAAAUAUUACUGGGUAUUGUGGGGAUGUAAAGACAAAUGGUAUGGUCUCAUGCCCACAUAAAGCUUACAGAAGUAGAAAUGUUAAGAUAAAAAGUGUAGCUUUUUAAUUAGAAAAAAACCUCUUAGCCAUGCUUGCAUGUUCUUUUUGCAUUUACUGGAAAGUGAAAUCCUAAUAAUUUAGUGGGAAAGGGCAUGGUUGGGGUUUUCCACUGGCAUCCUACAAGGAAGCAUGCACAAUUUCAGACAAUACAAUCACGUUCUUCCAGCAAGAGAGAACUAGUUUGGUGCCUAAAAUUGGUUCAAGGCAAAAGUUCCUGAGAGAAAGUAAUUUGGGCAAGCCUUAGAUCAAAUCCUCAGAGACUAGCCUCCCUAGUUGUUUCAUAAUGCUUGGAGGAAAAAAAAACAUUUUCCCUCCCACUCUUCUCCUGACGGAGGUUGCUAGGAUGCCUAUGACUGGCAGCUAGAGGUAGAAGUGUCAUUGCUGCCACUGCCAUACCCUGGCUGGCUGCUAUUAUUUUGGAAGGUGAGAUGACUCCUGCCUCUGGGAUCCCUCUAGUUAUGAAAUGAUUUACUGAAAUGUUUAUUUUCAUAAUGGUAAAUGAAAUUUGUAUUCACGAAUAUGAAAUUUUUACUUCUGAAUAUGUUGUGCACCAUUUUCCAUAAACAUCUGCCUACAUCUGCUGCUGGUGUUUCUCCCACCGUUUCCUGUGGGAGGCUGCAUGCUUUUGCCUCUCUCAGCCAAAUCAUGCCAAACAGAGCCCAUUCUCCUCAAAAGUUAGCAACCAACAGUUUCACCUUGGCAGAGUAGGAACCAGCUUUUUUUUUUUUACUUCUUUUUCUUUUUGAGAUGGAGUCUUGCUCCA